AUCAUGGCUCAGAUUGAACGCUGGCGGCAGGCCUAACACAUGCAAGUCUAACGGUAACUGGAAGUGCUUGCACUUCGCUUACUAGUGGCGGACGGGUGAGUUAUGCUUGGGAACUUGCCUUUGCGAGGGGGAUAACAGUUGGAAACGACUGCUCCUUCCGCUUAAUGUCUACCGACCAAACGGGGCUUCGGCUCCGGCUCAAACAGAGGCCCAAGUGAGAUUAGCUAGUUGGUAAGGUCAACGCUUACCAAAGCAACGAUCUCUUCCUGUUCUGAGAGGAACAUCAUGGGGACUGAAACUCAGACCGACCCCUACUGGAAGCGGCAGUGGGGAUUAGGAGA
rnacentral:rRNA from 1 species